rnacentral:rRNA from 1 species
AUGUAUCCACUGGCUUGGGCAGUAGUUGAGCAGGAAACAAAUGAGACAUGGAAAUGGUUCAUUGGUUUGCUCAUUAAAGAUUUGAACAUUGACAACAACGGAGAUGGCUGGGUGUUCAUAUCUUACCAGCAAAAGGGAAUUCUCAAUGCCAUGAAUGACUAUCUUCCAAAAGCAGAGCACAAGAUGUGUGCUAGGCAUAUAUAUGCCAACUGGAGGAAGAAACACAGGGCACAUGAGUGGCAAAAGAAAUUCUAG